rfam:Oryza rufipogon genomic scaffold, chr01
AAUCCGUGUAGUUCUAAGAAACAUGUAAAUUUGUCUUAUUUAAUUUUUUUUAUGAUUAGUAUUUUUAUUGUUACUAGAUUAUAAAAUAUAAAUAGUACUUUAUGCGUGACUUAUGCUUUUUAGUUUUUUCAAAAAAAAUUUCAAAUAAACCGGACGAUCAAAGUUGGAUACGAAAACUUAUGGCUGUGCUUAUU